AAUGACCUCGGAUCAGGUAGGAUCCAAAUC
rnacentral:rRNA from 1 species